CUAACUAUUCUUGGUUCCACUGGGGUGCCUUCUUCCCUUAUCAAUUUACUUAAUACCCCUUCCAUUUUUUCAUCACAAAGACAAUACAUUUCAAGACAAAACAAGACACAAACAUACUGUAUCAAUCUUCUCCAUUUUCUCAAAAUGGCCAUUUUUCCUUUCGCCCUAUCUGCCUAGGGACGAGCAGAUUUGUUACCGUCCUAUCUUAUUAGAGUCUGUAAACAAGUCAAAAUAACACCUGGCAUUUAGCCAGGGGAAUGUUAGAGUUCGUAAACAAGUCUGGAUGGUGCCUGGCAAAAUGCCAGAGGGAGUGGUUUGAGAAGUAACAAAAGCAAGCCAUUAAGUGUGGAGAUUCCUGAUUGGUUGACUGCUGUAUCUAGUUUAUGCUAAUUAGAUAAGCUGUGUGGAAUGUAUAAAUACUGCUCCUGUCCUGCAAUAAACGGCUCCCUCUCCUGCUGUAUCAACGUGCACAAGUUAUUCGUCACCACCCCCACCCCCACCCCCACC
rnacentral:lncRNA from 1 species